rnacentral:ncRNA from 1 species
GCUAGGGGUGCUGCUUAGGCGGCUGAGAAAUACCCUUUGAACUUGGUCAAGUUAGUACUUGCGAAAGGAAGCAAAAAUCU